UUCAUUGUCAGUUUUACAGUUUCUCUCACGUGCAUUUUUUUCGACUUAACAAUCAUGAGAGGUGAUGAAUAGAUAAAAAGAUGUACAGUAAUAAUGAAGAAGGAAUGGGCGUGAAUGUUGCCUGAACGAAUGAAUCAUAGUUGAUCUGAGUUGUAAAUAAUUCCACAAACAAUUAAAAAAAAAAAAACAGUAGCACUCAUUGUUGACGUAACACAAAAGUCAUUUGGAACUUAUUUAACUUGUCUUUUUUUUUCUCUCAAGCAACACACGGCAUUCACAAAUGAAGAAAAAAAAAAUCGUUCUGUGUUGUCUAAAGCAUUAUGUAUCAAGCGUGUACCGAACGGUUUCGAAACGGAACCGAAGCGAUGCGACUCACUCGUAACGGCCUCAGCCCAGUGCAAGGAAGGCCCAGUACUGCCCCCCGGUGUGUAGUAGUGUGGUGUGGUGUGCGUGUGUGGUGGUUGCUGUGUUUUCAGGAACACAUUUUUGUUGUCACGGUGAAACAGGACUUAAGAGAAGACAAGAAUAGGUAUAGGUAGGUGAUAGUAAUGCGAAGAGGAAGACCAAAGAUUAAGUGGAAAGACUGCAUUAAAGAACACAUGAGAGACAGAGGAAUAAGUGAAAGAAUGGCACAAGACAGAAACAACUGGGGAAAACUUAUAAAAGAUACCGAUCCCUAAUAGCGAUUUAAGCUGGGAAGGUGAAGGUGAAACAGGACUGCCGAAGUCAGUCGUUUAAGUCUCCUCCCAGGUGUCCAGCAGGCACGUUGAAAAGGGCACGGCCAGGGACCAAUUACUUUACCCGGCCAGUCAGGAGACACUGCACUUCUCAGGCUUUCGCGAGCAGCAGACGAGGUGAGCAGGAGAAAAAAAUAGCAUCUCAUUAUACUUCUUAAUUGCUUCGUCUAAUUGGGUGGUGUGUGUGUGUGUGAAGUAAUUUAAUGCACUGUGAGAGGACAGGUUGUUGUUCUUGUCGUUUGGCCCUUUUGUGUUGUUACUGGUGUGAGUAAUAGUGGUGGUAGUAGUGGUGGUGGUAAGGGUAAUGGCAGUGGUGUUGUGGCAAGACUAGAAGUGGAAUUGUUGCAGUGACAAGAAAAAUAGUAAACAGAUAUUUAAUGAUACGUGAGGUGCUGCCAUACUACGUGAAACGGUGUCAUGGUGCGUCGUGCGUGUUGGCCCAGGAUAGGAGGUGCCACCCAUCCUAGGCCUCGGCGUGCGGCGCAGGGCGGCCAGCUCCGCCUCCCUCCAGUCUGACGUUCCCAUUCAUAGCUGACCGGUAUCCGCUUAAGGCUGGGUGAACUAUGCAGAGUGACUUCCGCGAUAAAAUGCCAGUAAGCCGCCUAUCUAAUCCUGUAGGAACAAACCCCACAGGUACUGCAAGUCCAACACAAAAUAUCAAAAAAACUAUUCAUCAUUCACCUUUACCUCUCAAUAGGGCUGGUUUGAUUUAAAUAAAAUGAUUUAAAUCGAUUUGAAUCAGAGUAAAAAAUCACGAUUUAAAUAAGAAUUAAAUAUAUUGUAUUCAAAAUUAUUUAAGUGUUACAUUGAG